UGCUGUGUCCAGUGUUGGGGGUAACGACCCAGCAAACACAGAACGUUGUGACGACGUCGCCAGUUCGUCGUCCUUUGGUCAGCGCGACAUUACUUUAUGGCGACGUUGUGAGGACGUCGUGGUAAAGUUCCAUUUUUUAGAAUCUUGGCUAACGUUCCAGAAACGUCGUGGGCACAUCCUCAAAAGACGUCGCUUGUUAGUCCGUGAAGAACGUUGUAGCGACGUGGUCAGCUGGUCUCAUGAUAACUUUUCAUAUUAUUGCACUACAUGUAUUAUUAUGUUAAGAUACCAUUUGGAUAGCCUAUAUUUUGGAAAAUUUUAAAAGAUGGCAUGAAUUAUUAUAUUUGUAGGUACGUAUGUGUCAUCAAAUUAAGGACAAAACAAAAACCAAAUAGCUUGCUUAGCAAAUGGUGAUCAUUGUUAAUUACAUGUUUGUGAAUGACUGAGAAUGAGGUUUAUUGAAAGAGGGCUCGGGACAAAUUAACAUUUAAACCAGCAGCGCGCGGCGCGUCACUGUCUGUACUGCUGCGCGAGAGUGCGCGUGCCCGUCAUUAACGGUCAACUUCCAGCAGACGGACACGGAGGAAAAGGUCCUGACUGCCACCAGUCGAGUCAAUGAUUCAGUGGAGAGACAAUCUGGGCAGCAGCAACAAGACAACUAUUACGAGUAGAGAUGGGUUUCAAGAUCCAGGUGCAAGGUGCAAUAAGAUGCAAGGAUCCAGGAUCAAGAGAUCAUUCAUCAUGAAGACUGUUCAAUAGGAAGCAGCGAAUCCUGGGUGAAAAACUAAACCUGGUUGUUUCAGCAUCACUCAGGCAAGGCAAAAUACAUUUAAAUUGAUUUCAGUAGGUUAUAUGUUUCAGAUCAUCCUGACCAUUCUGUUGUCCUGGAUUUGAAGACAUGCUGGAACUGUAUUUCUCGUGGCUGAAAGAUUUGUGCAGCGGUAUCCAGACAUAUAAGCACCCUUCCUGGACCCACACCACUAAAGGCUCUGGAGGAGAGACAGCUGCCGGAGAAGGAUAUUGACGAUGCAGGCUCAGGACGGCGAAGAGGAGGAAGAACACCUUUAACAUAAUUUUCUCAUACCUUUGUCAUGUGUUAUAAUAAAAACAAUAAACCUGACUACAAUAAUAUGGUAAAUUUUAUUAAAAGAUUCCAGUUUGCAAGGAAUCUGGAGUCUCUGACUCUGCCCUAAAGGAACUCUUUGCUGAGGAAGACCAAGUGCUGAGGAGGAGCCUUGUUCUACAGCAAAACACUGCAUCAACCCUCCAUGACAAGAUGAAGAGUGAAGAGUCUCCUCCUGUCCUUCCCUCAGAAGAGCCUGUCUUCUGCUGCUGGGGUAAGAACGACACUCUUCCUCGUCUCUCACAGCCGUCCAGCACCUAACUCUGCCUCCUCAGCACUGUCUGAAAGAGUCUUCUCCACAGUCAGUAAUCAGAGAUCACACAUUCUCCAGAGAAAGUCAACACGCUCAUUUUCCUAAACAAAAACUGUUUAUGUUUUGUGGGUGGGCCAAAUUAUACAGGAGUGAUGCUAGAAAUCUUUAUAUUGUUCAUUUUACAUAUCUUUACUCUUUAUGAAUGUUAUUUUCUUUAUUUAUUUUAUCUUCUGAGAAGCCCAAGAACUAUGGUUCUUUGGUAAUUGUAACAUUGUUUAGGUUUAUCUUCUGAUAGUGAAGCUGUAUUAAAGCACAUCAGCACCAGAUAUUAAUGAAGUAUCUACUGAAUUGUUUCAUAUCUUUUUUAUCAUGUCUUUAUUUUUUUGCACCAAAUUAAGGGAGUUGUAUCAAUAAGAGUACUGAUAAUUAUUGAUAAUUUUCACUGAUAACAGCAUUAUUUAACUAUGCCCAACCUUAAUGAGACACAAACUUUUUCAGUUGAUUGGUAACACUUUGCAUGGUUAAAGAACAGGUGUAAUGUUUUGGUUUAGUAUUUGUAGAAAGUAACACUGAAUAAAUGUUGAUUCAUGAAUGAAUGCAUUGUGUUUUUGUCUAUUUUCUAUUAGAAUUUAAUGUUUUUGAAUUGGUUUGCACUGCAUGUAUGUAAUGAAUGUAUUUACUAUAAAUCCCCUAUAAUUAAAUUACUGUUAGAUUUUAUAAGUUUUCUUUUUUGCACCAAAGAUGAGUUUUCAAGGUUAUUUCAAGGUAAUAGUCGGAACACAUUCUCAGGACCCAGACUAAAGGCGAGGUGUAAAUAUUAAAAUUAAAAAUUAACGUGGUAUUUUAGUCCUUAGGACAUACUUGGUACGUUGCUGCGACCAAUAUGAUCCGGUACUGUCACGUCCUCACAACGUGCCGGUUUGGUCGUUAGGACGUUCUCAGCACGUUCCAGCGAUGUACCACUAUAACGUCGCCACGACGAAUAUGGGAAUCACAAAGUUACGUCGCUGGUACGUUAUUUGGUACGUCGCUGCGACCAAUAUGGUACGGUAGAGUGACGUCCUCACGACGUGCCGGUUUGGUUGUUAGGACGUUCUCAGCACGUUCCAGCGACGUAACAAAUAACGUCGCCACGACGAAUAUGGGAAUCACAAAGUUACGUCGCUGGAACGUUAUUUGGUACGUCGCUGCGACGUAUAUGGUCCGGUCCAGUUACGUC